CAGAUGGCAACAUUACAAGAUGCCCAGACAGGCAUUAUGCCACAGAGCAUCGGACAGAAUGUGAACACAGUGAAUGACAAGAGGACAAAGUGUUAGUAUAUUAAAUUAUUUAUUUUUUAAAUAAGACCAAUUUUAAGUUGGAAAACAAGUUGUUUACAUGUUCAUUUAUUUACGUUCUCUGCCAGAUAGACUCUGAUAUCACAGUGAGCCAGCAAAAACCAGAACAAAUAUUGAAAGUAGGAUUUUCUCUCUUAUUUUUUAUUCUCCUGUUUACAAACAUCAUAUCAAUUAAAAAAAAAUUCAAUUUAUCAGAGAUAUUUAUCAGCAUUUUACAGUCUUACUUGCUUCUCAAAUAGGAGGACAAACCAUGUCUCGAAAUGCAUUCUGGUCCCUUACAAUACUAUCAUCAGAGAAAGGAGGAUGGAUGCGCUCAGGGUCUUCGUCUACCUUUUCCAGAACUUUGUCAUCUGAAUUUGGCCAACAAUGAGAUAGCUGAGGAAGAGGCAUUGUUGCCCGUGGCAUUGUUUCCAAAGCUCAGUGAGCUUGUUAUUCACUCAAACCCCUUGACAACACAGAGAAGUGGUAAGCUCACACAUCCUCAGGCAGGCUCAUUGUUAGUGCAUUAAAUCAACUAAAUCUGACAAAAAAUGCACAUCUUUUUGUGUUUUUCAAUACAGGCGAUCCACCAAUGCUGACCUGUUUUCUUCAAGACAAGCUGGGUAUUAAGAUAACACGCAAAAAAACAACUAAUCUCAUUAAGCGACAUAUACUCCAUAAAAGAAAGGUGAAAACCACACUUCCAAAAUUUCCUUCGAUCACGGCAAAUCAACAUGCUACAGAAACGCUCUUCUCCAAGAAAUGUACUGGACAAGAUAAUCCUCUACCCUUAGAGUAUGGGUUAACUCAUGUAUUUGGCUUCUCGUCUCAAACAAGCAUUGACGACGAGGAAGACAUUGGCAUAGGCCAGGAGCAUUUUGACUUGACAAGUGCAGACAUAUUCUUUGAGACGAAUCAAAAUGCAGAGCCGUUCUUUGUGACAGAG
rnacentral:lncRNA from 1 species